AUUUCUAACAGCAUUUUAUAUUUCGUCCCAGUCUUUGCGUCUCUCUGCCUGACAAGUGGUUUGGUCGUACAUUGGAAUGUUGCAUUCAUUUAAAACUGUUACAUUUAACUCGGAGAAAGUCAAAAACGUAACUGAAUAUCACUUCAGGAAAUAUUUUAUAUUUUAAUUUCAUACAGUACAGUGUAAAUGACUAUUAAUUUCAAAUAAAAUUCAGUGUUUACGGGCAAUUUUUAAAACACUUUUUAUCACUUUCUUAUGAAUAUUGGAUAAAUAUUCGUGAAAUUUUUUAGUAGAUAUGUUGUAGUAUUUAUUAAUUUAUGUGAAACUGCUCAAGUGAUUUUUGUACUUGAAUAGUAUAGUAACUGAAGGUAUUUAAGAGGUAUUUAAGUAAAGGUUUUUUUCAAAUUGACAGCGAUUAUCAGAUGUACUGAUUUGGAAUGCACCGAGGGUAUUGUAGUGGUUAAAGGAUAGUUUACAACGCGUGACUAUUGUAAUUAUUAACGGGUCGUGUGUUCGUAAUAUACCCUUAUUUACAUACUCUUCCUGUAAUAGCAGUGGCGUAAAAUCGGAUCGUAAAAUGAAGAAAUAAUAUCUGUUUUUGUGGUGUUGGGAGUAAACGUUUAGUGUCAUAUUAAGACGACGUUCUAUUUUUAAAAGACGGAGGCUGUUUGUUGUAUAUUUUAUGCGGGAAAUCAGUUAAAACUCGGAAAUUACUAUAUUACAGUGAGUGAAAUGAGCUUAUCUCAUUAGAACACUUUUAUUGGAUUAUAAAAAAAAGUACGCUGCAAAGCGCAUCUCUAUUAAGGAAUAUUGGAUUAAACUCUGGUUUUAGCUACAACGAAAAAUAAAAGAAACUAGUGUUUUUUUUACAGAACUAAUUGUGUGUGGUUGAAAGGCAAUUUGAAUAUGGUCAGUUUAACUUCAUGAGCCUUGUGCCGGUCAUUCUGUCAUGGAAGUAUUAGUCCAGACAUCUGAUCACUGAGACAGUGCUUGGAAAACAUGAAACCGCCGAACGUGUACUGCACACUUUCAUUGUUUUGGAUAUUACAUUCUGUAACUGGAGACAUUCUGAUCAGUAAACCACCGCCUAAAAGUAUCAUAGCCGAUCAGGGUAAAGAUGUCCGGAUCACAUGUCCGGUUAAAGUUCCGGAACAUCUCAAUGAGGAUAAAAUGCGAAUACGAUGGAAACACAACGGUCACUACAUCCACGAUAGAGAUCAGUCGGACAAGUACACGAUAGAAAAUCGCGAACAAACGCUUCUUAUCUCAAAUGUGGAAGGAAGUAACGCAGGUGUUUAUUCCUGCGUGGUUAUCAUUGAUCAUGCACGGGAUCUUGCUAGUGGGAUGCUAGAAGUUCGAGAGCCACCUGAGGCCCCAAGAGAAGUUAAAAUUGCGAAUUGUGCGGGAAAUCAGGUCGAAUUAUCAUGGAAAAAGGGAGACGACGGUGGCGCGGAAAUAACUCACUACCUUGUUCAAUUUAAUACCUCAGAAAGUCCCGAUAAUUGGAUGUACUAUUAUGAUGAAAUUUCCGGAGAAGUAGAGGAAACUUAUAUAAACUUGUCACCAUGGGGAACGUAUAGUUUUAGACUUUUAGCAAAAAAUGAUGUAGGAUUUAGUAAACCUAGUGCUCCAACGAAAGUGCAGUGUACAACGCCCCCUGAACGACCAGGGGGAAACCCAAAAGAUGUUAGAACUUUAACACAUAAAACGGGAAAAUUGAUUGUAACAUGGACACCGAUGGCAAGAUUGAGUCACAAUGGUCCUGGUUUUAAAUACGCCAUAUUCUGGCGUCGAAAAGGAAGCACUUAUUGGAACAAAAAUAUCGAGCAAAAUUCAAACGCAAAAAUGUGGGAAACCAGCGUAAAUGACAUAUACACCUUGUAUGAGAUUAAGGUGAAGGCGAUGAACGAGAUCGGGGAGUCUCGCCAGCCGGCUUUUAUAUAUCACGGCUACUCUGGUGAGGGAGAACCAACUGUGAUACCAAAAGAUUUCCGGUUGGACCGGACGAAGCAGGUUGAAGCUCAUAAAGCUCAUUUUAUCUGGGAAGCUGUUGAUACGUCAGAGGAUAAAAUACAUGGAGAAUUUCGCGGCUACAAGUUACGAUAUUGGAAGUCUAGUGAGGGUCGGCACAAAUGGCAGGAAGUUGACAUACUUAUAACAAAGGCAGAUCAUGGGAGACUGAAUGUGCGCGCAGCAAUAGAUAAUUUGCCCGCUUACACGGCCCUCAGGGCACAGGUGUCAGUUAUGAACACCCAUUAUACUGGACCGCCAAGUCAAACCAUAGACUUCACAACACCUGAAGGAGUUCCAGACCCUGUGAGGGAUUUACGUAUUGAAGCACAUGGGACAACGUAUGCUCUUUUAAAAUGGCUGCCACCAGAAGAGCCUAAUGGACUUUUACUGGGAUAUGACAUUGGUUAUCAGCAGAUAAACCAAGAAGUGAAAGGGCCAAAACGUCAGUUACGACCUCAGAUUGACAAUCCGGAUACGUUAGGUGCGAGAAUAACCGGUUUAUCAUCGAACCAUGACUAUCGGUUCUACGUUUAUGCCCGUACUAAGAUGGGCAGAGGAGAGGAAUCGUAUAUUGAUGUGAAAACAAAAGAUGGGGAACCACCAGAUACCCCUCAACCAAAGUUUAUGACACUGGAUCAAACGAGUGUAAAUAUAACUUGGACACCAUAUCGGCUCAUAGAUGUUGACUAUGUACUUGAAUAUAGACUUGCAGGGCAAGCUGAUUGGAGCAUUGCUAAUUCUGAAUGGGGGCGGUCUUGGAUGGUGAUAAAUGAUUUAUUACCUGACAUGGAAUAUGAAGUGAGACUUAUUGCCAAAAAUAAAUAUGGUGACACAGCAUCAAGUACCUUAUACAGGGUGAAAACACAACCCAGACAAGGUCGUGAUGCCCACCUUUACCAACAGGAUCAGCCACAUGAUGCUGACAGUGCUUAUAGCGGGGCCUCAACAUUUAAUCACCAAAUUUAUACAUCUGUAUCAAACUUUAUAGCAAGAACUAUUAUGUUACAAACAAUCCUGUCUCUAGUCAUUGUAAAAUUCUUGUUACAUUAAAUUAAGUUGAUGCCAAAAAUAAAUAAAAAUUUAAUUAUUAAAAUAUGAGUGCUGGGAUUAAGGGGUGUAUAUGUUAGACUAAGGGAGGUAACUCAGAUACAGUUAUAUGAUGGUGAUAUUGUGAUUACCCUCCCUUGAAUAGAGUCAAAUAUGUAGAGGGAGCUGAGAAAAUUGACUCGGUGAUUCAUACAGAGGAAAGUGUUGUAAAAAUUCAUUUGAGAUGGUACAUUCCAACUAAGAGAGUACAUUAGUUUCCUUGUUAACUCUAGAUAUAUAGUGCUUAUGACAUAAAAGGUUGUCAAAUUUAACUGAUGUGAUCUGAAAACAAAGUGCUUACUCAGAAUGACACAUCUUUUUCAAAGAAAAGCGGCCAUUUUCUUUUGCAGACGGCAAAAUUGAUAUCACUAUGUACUAAAUUAAGUUGAAAUUUUUUGCCAGCACACAUACUUUUUUAUAAUUGUAUAUUAAAUAAUCAUUCCAUAUAUAUUCAACUACAAAAGAGGAAUUCCAAUACAUAUUUCCUAUGAAUCAAAAAAGGACAUCUUUGUGCAGAUGGUGUUGAAGAUGAAAUUCAUCGAAAAAUUAAACUUGAGUGGGCGUUGAACUGGAAAUACUCAAAGAAACCUUGAGAUUUUAAUAAAAACCAAGGUUGUGACAUGUAGAUGAAUAGAAAACAUUUUUAUCAUACAUAAAGGUUGUGAAACUAAAGAUUCCCUAUUUUUGUCAAAAAAAAUUUUGUUGAACAUAUUGUGCUGUGAAUGGAAUUUUAUAUUUUGUUCUUUUUUAAGCAUGAAGUUACUAUUGAUGAAUGUAUGCGUAAAUGAACAAAUUGGUAUAUAUCUAUAGACAAGUUUUCUAUUUAGUAACAAUAGUUCAAAAUAAUGUAAUUCAAGUAGCACUAACAACUUUAUUACAAUCCAGCAGUGUUUCUUUAUUAUCAGUCAAGAUGUCUUCAAAUUUAUCACUUAUUUGAAAUUACAUGCAACUUGUUGUUCUCAGUUAAUACAUAAAAUGUUGACCUAUAAUGAAACGUUACUUUCCUUUAUGUAUUUUUAACAUACUUUCAGUAAUUAUUUUGAUUAGAUCAGAAAACAAAAUUUACAAUUAAUACCUUUUGUUUAUAUUUUGAUCAAAUCUGUUUAAUUGGGAGGAAAAUAAAUUUGUAAACCAGUCUGAAAAACUUGGCACUUGAUUGGCUGUUUCAGCUUUUGAUUGAAAAAUUGACCUAUGAAAAGAUGUCUGGUCUAGACUGGUACUCAUUCUUAAAUGACAAUGCUCUGAAUCAUCUACAUUUUGUUUUUGAGAAAAUGUUCAUAGUUGUGUAGUAUUUACAAAAUAACAUCUUGUAUUGUGUAAAUGAGAUUGAAACAUUUUGUAUGCAUAAUUUGUUGUCAUAAAUACUCAUAUCUUUUUUUUUUCUUUUUAAAAAAUCUGAAUCAUGUUUAAGACUCUACAAAUUGUAUGUACAGUAUAUUUUUCAUGUGCCAUAUAGUAUAAUGUAAGUAGAGAUCUAUAAGGACGUACAUUUCCCCCCAUCUUGCCAUUUAGCCCAAUGAGAUUUGAGCUCUGCGAUAUUAUUUGUAUGCAUGUCACAUUCAUCUGGAAUCAGUGUUCUAUCUAAAUAAAAAAGAAUUUAGUACAUGUAUUUCCAAAGUUUUCACUGUACAUUUUAUUUUUCAUAUAUGAAAGUAAACUUCAGUUGGUUAUUUCUUUUAUGCACCAUGUACAAAGCCACUAAACUUUUUGAAUAAUUCAGUAAAAAAAUGGUAUAUCAAGCUAAAUAAGUAGAAUUAUUAUGCACUCUUUAUUUUCUGUAUGUCCUGAGAACAUUUAUAACCAAAAAAAAUAUCAUCUGUUUGAAAUCAAGAUCUGACAAAACUUUUCAUGUCAAAGACCUUUUUUCAUUAUAUUAUAUUAUUCUGCAAUUUUUAACUUUUUUAUCUAUUUUUUAAAAAAAAAUAUGACAAGUAUUAUAGUAAGCUGGUAUUUUCAUUAUGAUUACUUGCUCUUGAUCAUGACUAAAGUAUUGUAUAAAGUUAAAAUAUGCUGCAACAAUAUUGCAACAUUGAAUGGGUUGCAUGGGCCUUUUCUACUAAAAUUCUGGGAAAAUUUUGCGAGGAUAAUUGUUUUUAUGAAUUAUGGGCUAUAUCCUUUGUAGAGGUGAGAUAUUUUCAAUAUUUUCAUUCUAUUCAAGAAUGGAGCUAAAGUUUAUUAAUUCAAGUUGAUGGUAAAUAGUAAAAAUUUGCAUAAAAUGAUAGUUAUAUAUCAAUUACAUGUAACAGAUUAAACUUGGUAUUAAGGUAAUUAGCAUCAAGUGAUUUUCAUUCAAAUUGGUAUUCAGUUGACAUUUACUAACUCUAGCUUUUGUGCUUUGAAAAAGUUUAGCUUAUAUUAGAAGUGUUUUGUGUGUUUAAAUGAUCUCAUUUGUUGUGAAAAAGUAAAAAUCAGUUUUCAUGGAAUCUCAAAUACAGUAGAUUUGCAUUGGUUCCUUCUGUGUGCUAGAUAUUUUCUACAUUGGUUCCAUAUUUGAAUAGCUAUUACAUUGGUUCCACAUUUUGUCUAGUUUUAACAUUGGCUCCAAUUCUAUGUGCUAGAUUGUUUUACAAUGGUUCCAUACUUAAAUAGCUAUAAACAUUGGUUCCACGAUUGUCUAGUUUUGACAUAGGUGCCAUUUGUGUGUUAGAUUUUUUUACAUUGGUUCCAUUUUUGAAUGUUUUUACAUUGGUUCCAUGUUUGUCUAGUUUUUACAUUGGUUUCUUUAUAUGUCAAUCUUUUUGUUCUUAGAUACAUUGGCUCCACACUAUUAGUGUUUCAUACUAUCAAGUUUCCACACUGUUAAGGUUUUAACACUAUAAAUUAGGUUCCACAAUAUUAAAUUUCUAUGAUGUCAAGGUUUCACAAUAUUAAGUUUCUAUAGAAUCAAAGUUACACAAUAUUAAGUUUCUAUAGAAUCAAAGUUACACAAUAUUAAGUUUCCACAUAUCAAUAUUUCACAAUAUUAAGUUUCUAUGGUAUCAAGGUUUCACAAUAUCAAUUUUCUGUGGUACCAAGGUUUCACAAUAUUAAGUUUCUAUGGUACCAAGGUUUCACAAUAUUAAGUUUCUAUGGUACCAAGGUUUCACAAUAUCAAUUUUCUAUGGUACCAAGGUUUCACAAUAUUAAGUUUCUAUGGUACAAAGGUUUCACAAUAUUAAGUGUCUAUGAUAUCAAGUUUUCACAAUAUUAAAUUUCUAUCAUAUCAUUAUCAUGGUUUCUUUCAAUUAAGAUUUCAAACUAUUAAGGUUCUGCACUAUCAAGGUUUUAAAAUAUCAAGGUUCCACACUAUCAAGGUUUCUUGAUAUCUAGAUGUCACAGUGAAUUUCAAGGUUCCAUACUAUCAAGCUUUCAUGGUAUAAAGGUUUCAAAAUAUCAAGGUUCUUCCACAAAAUAAAGGUUUCACAGGUUCAAGGUUUUAACAAUUUAUUUAUCAUCCGAUAUCACUUAUCCCAAAUAUGAUAACUUUUAGGCAUCAGUAACUACAUUGUAUAUUUAAAAUUAAUUUAGGUAAUAGAAACUGACACUUUGUUCCUCAUUUGUCCAAAAAAUAAAAAGGUCUGGUUUUAAAUGAAAUGUAUUUUAUUUCGCAAAGGUUUUUAAAAAAAUUUAUGUAAAUAACAAACUUUAUAUUAAAACGUGCUUUUGAAGAACAAAGUAACAAUAACAUCUUAAUAUCAUAGAAGUCUUCUAGUAAUGUCUGCUUGCAAUUAGUGAAACCAUGUCUUCCUUUGUUGAAUAUUGGAAAAGAAAAUGUUUAGUUUUAUUCUAAUGAUGCAAGUUUAUUUACAAUUAUUUACAGUAAAUUUGAUACGUUUUUGGCCAUAAUUUGUGGUAUGAUUACCAAAGUAUUGGAGAAGUUGAGGGUUGAUAUGAUUACAAAUUGACAAAACCUUGCCCUCUAGUGCACUGAAGGGUACCUGAGGUCUUCCUCCACCAGUAAAGAUCGAAAGUCACCAUAUGACCUAUACUGUAUUGGUGCGACAUAAAAACCAACCAAAAAUAAAUAGCUGAUAAUACUGGAAAAAAAUGGGAGAGCAUGGAAAACUAAAAAAGUACAAUUUUCAGUUAUAGUUUGUAACAUGCAAAUUUUAUUUACCCAAGGAAAAAUAUCAGUAUUUCUUCACAUUGCAUGAUCUUUGAAUGAAAAAAAAGGAAAAUUAAGAAAUUUUUGAAAUGCUUGUAAGGGGAGAUAAUUUCAGUUUUGAAAUCCAUAUAUGUCAAGAGUAGAGCGCCUUUUCACCUUCAUUUUUAAAUAGCUGUACUGUGCUUCCAUUGAAAUAUGUUGUUUUAUUCCCUAGGUAGCUAUAAAUGGAGUAGUCUGCCUGCUUUGAAGUCUUUUUAUCGUACAUUGUAGUGGUGUUGUGUUAAGUUAAGUUCUUUUUUGAUCUGCGCCUGCAUCUUCGAAUUCUUUCAUGUGAGAAAGCUAUUCAGCUAGCUUACAGAACAUUGGUGGUUCUACUCUCAGGUGCCUGAAAUAAUGGACAAAAUGACACCUUAGGUAUUCCUCUCCCAGUAAAGCUGGAAAGUCACCAUAUGACCUAUACUGUAUUGGUGCGACGUAAAACCCAACAAAAAAUGGCAUAAAAAUUAUCUGCCUUUGAAUCAGGCGUGAGACUUUAAAUUCUUUCAUUUCUGAGUGGUAGCUGUCCAGCAAAAUAUUUUUUUAUUCUCCAGUGCCCGAUCGUUCUUGAAAUAAUGCAUAAUAUUAGGACACGAGGCCUUCCUCUACUGGUAAAAGUAGAAACUUGCCAUACAGCCUUCAGGCUGUCAUGUGUGACUUACAACCCAUCUAAAAUAAAUCUGGCCUUGACAUUUUUAAAGAGUAAAAAGUAGUUUUCUAUGGCAUCAAAUAAAUACAUUAAAACAUGGAAACAAUCUCAAAGAA